GAAAUUUGUGCACCAUGAUAUAUGUAUCAAUCCCAGACAUGUUUUGGUGUGACCAGGAAAACACAUCAACAUACUAAUGUAGAAGCUCAAUCAACCCUUUCUUGACAUCAUCAUCUGGGGAAGCGCCUAUCUUAAUUUCUUUUUUAUUGUCCUCGAUCCCGAUAUUAAUAAUCUCUAGUGAUUCUUGGUACAAUGUAAUAACUUUUGAUUCCCACUGCAACAGUCUGGCCAACUCCUCAAGGAG
rnacentral:lncRNA from 1 species